rnacentral:rRNA from 1 species
AGAGUUUGAUCCUGGCUCAGGAUGAACGCUGGCGGCGUGCUUAACACAUGCAAGUCGAACGGAACUAUCUCGAUGAGCUUCUUCGGAAAGGAAUUGAUAUAGUUUAGUGGCGGACGGGUGAGUAACGCGUGGGUAACCUGCCCCAUACAGGGGGAUAACAGCGGGAAACUGCUGUUAAUACCGCAUAAGCGCACGGGACCGCAUGGUUCUGUGUGAAAAACUCCGGUGGUAUGGGAUGGACCCGCGUCUGAUUAGCUGGUUGGCGGGGUAACGGCCCACCAAGGCGACGAUCAGUAGCCGGCCUGAGAGGGUGAACGGCCACAUUGGGACUGAGACACGGCCCAAACUCCUACGGGAGGCAGCAGUGGGGAAUAUUGCACAAUGGGGGAAACCCUGAUGCAGCGACGCCGCGUGAGCGAGGAAGUAUUUCGGUAUGUAAAGCUCUAUCAGCAGGGAAGAAAACGACGGUACCUGACUAAGAAGCCCCGGCUAACUACGUGCCAGCAGCCGCGGUAAUACGUAGGGGGGAAGCGUUAUCCGGAUUUACUGGGUGUAAAGGGAGCGCAGGCGGUCUGGCAAGUCUGGUGUGAAAGCCCGGGGCUCAACCGCGGGACUGCAUUGGAAACUGUCAGACUGGAGUGUCGGAGGGGCAAGUGGAAUUCCUAGUGUAGCGGUGAAAUGCGUAGAUAUUAGGAGGAACACCAGUGGCGAAGGCGGCUUGCUGGACGACAACUGACGCUGAGGCUCGAAAGCGUGGGGAGCAAACAGGAUUAGAUACCCUGGUAGUCCACGCCGUAAAC